rnacentral:rRNA from 1 species
GUGGCGGACGGGUGAGUAAUAUGUAGGAAAUCUGCCUUUAGGAGAGGGACAACAGAAGGAAACUUCUGCUAAUACCUCAUAUGAGCUACCUUGAAAUAGGUAUCUUGAAAGCUCCGGCGCCUAGAGAUGAGCCUGCACCUGAUUAGCUUGUUGGUAGUGUAAUGGUCUACCAAGGCGACGAUCAGUAGCUGGUUUGAGAGGAUGAUCAGCCACAAUGGGACUGAGACACGGCCCAUACUCC